AAUACGGAGGGAGCUAGCGUUGUYCGGAAUUACUGGGCUUUAAAGCGCACGUAGGCGGCUUUUUAAGUCWGAUGUGAAAGCCUGGAGCUCAACYCCAGAACUGCCUU
rnacentral:rRNA from 1 species